rnacentral:rRNA from 1 species
AUUGAACGCCGGCGGCAUGCCUUACACAUGCAAGUCGAACGGCAGCUCGGGUGCUUGCACCUGGUGGCGAGUGGCGAACGGGUGAGUAAUACAUCGGAACGUACCUUAUCGUGGGGGAUAACGCAGCGAAAGUUGCGCUAAUACCGCAUACGCCCUGAGGGGGAAAGCGGGGGACCGUAAGGCCUCGCGCGAUUAGAGCGGCCGAUGUCUGAUUAGCUUGUUGGUGAGGUAAAAGCUCACCAAGGCGAUGAUCAGUAGCUGGUCUGAGAGGACGAUCAGCCACACUGGGACUAAGACACGGCCCAGACUCCUACGGGAGGCAGCAGUGGGGAAUUUUGGACAAUGGGGGCAACCCUGAUCCAGCAAUGCCGCGUGAGUGAAGAAGGCCUUCGGGUUGUAAAGCUCUUUUGUCAGGGAAGAAACAGCAGCUCUAACACAGUCUGCGAAUGACGGUACCUGAAGAAUAAGCACCGGCUAACUACGUGCCAGCCGCCGCGGUAA